GGCGACGAUCUGUAGCGGGUCUGAGAGGAUGAUCCGCCACACUGGGACUGAGACACGGCCCAGACUCCUACGGGAGGCAGCAGUGGGGAAUAUUGGACAAUGGGGGGAACCCUGAUCCAGCCAUGCCGCGUGUGUGAAGAAGGCCUUUUGGUUGUAAAGCACUUUAAGCGAGGAGGAGGCUACCGAGAUUAAUACUCUUGGAUAGUGGACGUUACUCGCAGAAUAAGCACCGGCUAACUCUGUGCCAGCAGCCGCGGUAAUACAGAGGGUGCAAGCGUUAAUCGGAUUUACUGGGCGUAAAGCGCGCGUAGGUGGCCAAUUAAGUCAAAUGUGAAAUCCCCGAGCUUAACUUGGGAAUUGCAUUCGAUACUGGUUGGCUAGAGUAUGGGAGAGGAUGGUAGAAUUCCAGGUGUAGCGGUGAAAUGCGUAGAGAUCUGGAGGAAUACCGAUGGCGAAGGCAGCCAUCUGGCCUAAUACUGACACUGAGGUGCGAAAGCAUGGGGAGCAAACAGGAUUAGAUACCCUGGUAGUCCAUGCCGUAAACGAUGUCUACUAGCCGUUGGGGCCUUUGAGGCUUUAGUGGCGCAGCUAACGCGAUAAGUAGACCGCCUGGGGA
rnacentral:rRNA from 1 species